CAGAGAGAAAGAAUUCUGGAACAUGCUUUAUUUUUUAUUAUUAUCAAUUAGGUUUUCUCUUUUCACCUGAGACAAACAUUAAGGCACCUGUUUCCUUUCAUUUUAUCAGCAUCCAGGAGACACAGAUUGAUUUCUAAGAGAGUUCUUCUGCAUUGGGGUGUUGAAGGACCUUUGAAAGUUAAGAACAGAAGUACAAAUAUUUAAGACAAAGAAAAAAUUUGCAGCAUAGCUCCAGGGACAGACCUGAUUGGGAUAGCAAAGAAAUGAAGAAAGGACAAAUAUAGACACGUAGAAAAGCUGGGGAUUGGAUGGACUGGACUCUGUUGGAGAACCUACAUCACUCCAAUGGGAUUUAUAUCUGAGUAUCAGUUACUGCAUGAUGGAUGCCUCGAAGACAGAGACACUUGGAAGAGGACUGAAGGGUGGCAGGAGACAA